GACGAACGCUGGCGGCGUGCUUAACACAUGCAAGUCGAACGGAAAGGCCCUGCUUUUGUGGGGUGCUCGAGUGGCGAACGGGUGAGUAACACGUGAGUAACCUGCCCUUGACUUUGGGAUAACUUCAGGAAACUGGGGCUAAUACCGGAUAGGAGCUCCUGCUGCAUGGUGGGGGUUGGAAAGUUUCGGCGGUUGGGGAUGGACUCGCGGCUUAUCAGCUUGUUGUUGGGGUAGUGGCUUACCAAGGCUUUGACGGGUAGCCGGCCUGAGAGGGUGACCGGCCACAUUGGGACUGAGAUACGGCCCAGACUCCUACGGGAGGCAGCAGUGGGGAAUAUUGCACAAUGGGCGGAAGCCUGAUGCAGCAACGCCGCGUGCGGGAUGACGGCCUUCGGGUUGUAAACCGCUUUCGCCUGUGACGAAGCGUGAGUGACGGUAAUGGGUAAAGAAGCACCGGCUAACUACG
rnacentral:rRNA from 1 species